GAGGGCGGGAACGGUAGCACACAGCUAUGAUUGUGUACAGUCGGAGGCAGGAGUACCAUUGUUAAAGCCAUUCUGGUCUGCGUAAUGUGUUUCCAGGUACUCAGGGCUACAUGGUGAGACCCUGACUCAUGAACCCCCAAAUUAAAAGUGAAAUAAUAAACUGAAUUAGCAGAGAGGAAGUAUACAGGUAAAAUCUGGCAUGUAGUUAUUCUCUACCUCAACACUCACCCCUCUCUUUCAGAAGAUUCUACAACAUAGUAUUUAAGGGAUGUUUUAAGUCCUAGCACUGAAUUUGUUGAGGCAGAGACGUAAAGUAGGAAAAGUAGAAAGGGCAGGGUGCUAGAACCUGACUCUCUCACCACCCACCAGGCCCAACCCUACCAAGCCUUUGGCAGACUGGCACCGAUUAGUAUAAAAUGAUUGCCUGUAAACAUGAGAAAAAAUGGUUCUCUGAUUGCACCUACUGCUGGCCAGGCCCUGUGCUUUGCCCGUAUCCAAGCUGACUGGCACGGGUUUUGAUUGAGUUGGGCCCUUUGGUCUUGAAGUUGUCUUUCUGGGUCUCCUUUGAAAAGCCUUGGCUUCCUUGUAUGAACAUAACUGGGAGUGCACCCGUCUGUUUCCACGCUCAUUUCUAACUACAUCUCCUUCCAGGACUGUGGGGACCUUUAUAACACCAUCAGUAACAAGGAGAAAAUAGCCGAAUGGGAUGAAUGUUCACACUCUCUGACACGGGAUUGUGGGAAAUCAGACUCCCUUACGGUUCUGGUCUCCUGCUUCUACUUCUACUGAGCAUCUCAGGUCAAAUUACCUGGAGAAGUUUGUGUUUUCAGCCAUCUACACUAAGACAACAGUAUUUUUACUCAGCCAUUGUGCUGUCCCCAGGAUCACCUUGUCUUGUUCCAGCCACCAUUGAGUAAUGAGAGAAUUAAAAGAACUGUGAAAUUUACAAAGGAGGUUGAGAAUUUAUCUUCAAGUCCUUGAAGCUUGGCCAUAAAAGAUCAGACAUAGGGACUGGAAGUGCUUUCAAGUGUUCGAAUCUCAGUCUUUCAAAAGUAUUAGGGUAGUUAACUGCCUUCCUCUGGGAAAGAGGGUUACCCUCAUUCCAGGGUGCCAGACUCCUGUUCUAUUUAAAGACUCACAGGUACCCAAGGCUUUCUACUGCAGUUUGAAAUAUCUUGCUCAUACCAGUCAAGUGUACACACACACACACACACUCACACACACACAUUCACAGAGAGAGAGAGAGACAGAGACAGAGACAGAGAGACAGAGAGAGACAGAGACAGACAGAGAGAGACAGAGACAGACAGAGACAGACACACCCACACUUACACUCACAUCCAUAUGCCCUCUCCAUAGAACCCAGGCACCAGUUUUAGCAGCUCUAACUGAAGGGCCAGUCUUCUGGCAAUGUCUUCAUGCUGUGGAGAUGUCCUAUGUUUUGCAUUAGACUCUUACAGCUUGUGUCUCCUGACUGAGAGUUGUUUGUAUGUAUGUAUGUAUGUAUGUAUGUAUGUAUGUAUGUAUGUAUGUGUAUGUAUAUAUGUUUGUGUAUGUGUGUAUGUAUGUAUAUAAGUAUGUAUGUGUGUAUGUAUGUGUAUGUGUGUAUGUAUGUAUAUAAGUAUGUAUGUGUGUAUGUGUGUAUGUGUAUGUGUAUGUAUGUAGUAUGUAGUAUGUAUGUAUGUAUGUAUGUAUGUAUGUAUGUAUGUAUUUAAAGGUAGACUACUUCCUAGCCUUAGUCCUGGAGAACUGCACCCCCUGUUGGAAAGAAAAGGCAAGAAAGAGCCAGUCAGGCUAGGCUGGUGGUCCUACCCUGCAUAAGGUAGCAGGAAUUUUUGGAUUAGCAGGAAGCGGUCAGAGGUGGAGGAGGCUGGUUUGUAUCUUUGCCUGGGCACGAACAAAAGCAGUUAAAACUAAAGACACUGAAGGCUAGGUUUUAAAAUUUAAAAUUUUGUCCAAUUAGUUCCUCUUUACCUAACACACACACACACACACACACACACACACACACACACACACACCAGAAUACUACUACGUCUCAUGCACAUUCCAGGUUUAUUCUUCAUUUGAAGCUGAGCCUAUUGUAGCCGAUAAUCAUAAAAAGGAGUUCCGGAUCCACAGGAUCUGAGCCUUCCCUACUCUGCAAUACAGCAAAGAGUAUAGGCACUCAGGACCCAAGAACAUAUGUGGUCACAACUCAGCCCUUUGUCCCUGCAUUAAAGGACCCCCAAGAUGAUGAAAUUAUAAGGUUGGCUGUCUUUGGACUCCUCUGAAAGGUCACUGUGAGUUUUACUUGUUGCCAUGAUUUCUGUUUCCUUCAUAAGAAGAAGCCUUUAAGUCAUCACGAGUAGAGGUUAUUCUACUCCGCAAAACAACCAAGGUUGUCACCCUCCGGAAUUAGCUUCAGGGUUUUUUUUUUUUAACUAAGUGAUUUCAAGCUGAUGAAACACUAUUACUUUUAAGGUCAGUAUGUCACAGAGGUCUUCACAAACACGUCUUUGAGGACUACAACCUAGUGAUGCGAAGAGUCUACUAAUAUUCCGUCACCAGCAGAGACACCGUUCUGUGAAAAUAAACUCGCUAAUUCAGAAACAUCCACGACUGUCUUGCUGUCCUUUCUCUGAUGCCUUCACCUAUACUGGCUUAACCAGAAGCUGCAUUGUGAAAAGUCAAGAGAAUGCUGCUUUGUUGAUAUUUUCGAUACUGUUUGAGAAUAUUGAUUAUUUGCUUGAGGGCUCUAAGCCCCCCCCCCCCAGAAUCCAAAUUCUUGUGGAUCAAUACCGUUAUCAAAAACACGGAUCUUUUUCUUGAUAAACAGGGAGAUAAAAGUUAGGAAACCCAUGGAAGGUGGUACCUCAGAGCAUCAGAGUAAAUCGGGGAGACGGACAAGACGGUGGCUUGUCAUCCAGCGAUGCCUGUAAGUGACUCUAAUUAUUGGUUCACAAAUGACCAUAGGGAGGUGGGCAUUUAACAACAACAAAAAUAAUCAGUUCUUAAAAAUAAUUUUUUUUUUAUCCAAGAGUUGGAUAGAGUCCGCCGAGGUCUGUAUUUUACUUUUUAUUUGGGGGAAGAAUACUGUCCACCCCAAAAUGUCUUUUUGCCCACUCCCAACACAAUGCAAACCCCAUCUCCUUUUCUAUAAAUACUCCUUUCCAGUUUCAAAGUGGUUCCUCAUGUGGCUCUUCCACAGAGUUAAUAAAAUGAACAUUCCACAGCAUACAAAGAGGAUGGGGCCUUAAGCUGAAGGCUCCCUGGGGUCACAGUGCAAGGCUGCAGGCACAGAAGUUUGCAACAACUGGGUACUGGCACUCCUAGCUUUUUCCGCCUGCAUUGUCUUGGCGGAGGCUCACUGCAGUGAAUACCGGUAACAUCGCAUAGGAAGAGAACUGUAAAUUCUUUAAAAUAAAACGUUCAAUUGGUCUAGGGACCGUCAUAGUUGCGAAUCUAUAGCCGCCAUUUAGCGCAUAGGGCUUCCGGGCUGACGGCCUGGAGCAGUGGUCAAAACUCUUCAAAAACUCGACCUUGGAGUCUGUGUAAUAGAAAAGUACUCGCUGCUUUCGCAGGGGGUAUGGGGUGGGGUGGCAUUUGUUGGUUUAGGGAUGUUUUACUCACUCCUGCUUUAAAUCUAGAGUGAUGGCCCUGGGAAGACAAAGGAAGUACUAACAUUGGUGUGAUUCGCUGCGGGCCUGCUUUGCUACCCAGCGCUGUGACUUGAGGGUCUUUUAAGAAAGUUUAUCAACACAGCAAAAUCUAAGUCUAGUAAGAGUCUCAGAAGGGUUUCAUGGAAAAUAAGGACAGUGACGCCUACAAUUGGUUAUCUGGAGCCGCUAGGAGUCUGGUCAGCCUGGUUUCUUGGCUCUUCUGGGCCCAAUUUCCUGACACUUCAAAUCCAGAGAUGUCCUUGGUCCCCAAGCUUCGAAGUUACUAAAUUAUCUUUUUCUCUGAAAUUUUUAAGAGGAGGCGACCCGUGAUGCUCUCUGCCACUGUACGUAAAACAAGCAAUUCCCCACCAGCCUUUGAGCUACACUUCAGGUUUUGGGGACUCCUUUGCUUUUGGAUUUUUAAUCCCCUGCUCCUGUGAAAAGAGAAAUUUCCAGGCCACCCUGAAAAGGACUUGUUUUUAUUAUCUCUGUCUUGAAUUAAGAUCAUUGAGGCCUGAAUUCAAAUUCAGAGUACCAGCAUGGGGCACAAACCCCAGGGUGGUGCCCGAAAGACACUCGUGGCGCCAUAACUAUUGUGAAACAAGCCACUGCGGGGAGAGAGGGAAUUGAUAUUAUUUUGAUGGAGAUUCCAACUGGGAAGCGCCCUAGAGAAUGUUCUCGCUCUACUGGGCGUUCUUCUGGCUCAGAGAAAUUGGGGAGCUGGGCCAGCAAGAGCGGGGUUGGUGGCUCAGGAGGGCGAUUCCUGGCCUGUGAGACACCUCUGCCUUCGUGACUAAUGGAUUUCCCCGCGCCGCUGUUGUUCCCCAUUUGCAUGUACCUCGGCCGGGGGCCCAGCUGUGCCCGGGUGCACACUUAGCGCUGGCUGAUAGCCCCAGGACAUACUGGAGUCUAACCAGGAGGGUGCUGAGAUCUGGAUUUUCACACCAUGAAACUGGUAACAGUUUUGACUUCAAUGUCUUGAAAAGUUCCAGGAUCAACUGGGAGACAGGCCCGUGAGCUUGCCAGUGAGGAGUUACCAUGAGAGCACCAUGCUAAGGUCUCCGAUUGAUUCAAAAGGAGGACAUGAGGGGAACACUGGCCCUCUACUCCUUGCGCUCUGCUUCCUGGCUUUGGAAUGCAAUGACCAGCUCGACGUCUGAAGGUCUUGCAGCUACAUUUCCACACACCAUGAGACAGACAGCAUUGUACCCUCCAACUGUGAGCCAAAAGUAACAAGAUUGCUUUCAUCAGACAUUUUGCCCCAACCAUGCUUAAAGCAAGUGAUGAAAAUACCAGGCAGUUCUCUCAUCUUCUAGAGACAAGCGAUUGCUUGAACUAAUUCAAUGAACUCUUUGCCUUCAUCCGCACCCAUUGAUUCAUCAGAUAACUCAAUUCUCUUUUUCUUUUUCUUUUUUUUUUUAAGCUUCAAUUCUGCAGGUCUCUGUUUGCCUUUGUGAGGAAGAGGAGCUGAAGUCAUGCACACAACUUACUGACAGUCCAUUGGACCAGGCAGGUCCACAAAUCACUAGGAGCAGGGAAGCACGACUUCUGCACGGCUCCUGGAGUCGUUUGGCUUGGAGAGAACUCUCAGAUGUGUGUGUGAUCUUCCAACAAGCCUCUUGUUGACUCACCUUCACUUCUCACGGUUCCAUUUCUUGUCCUGGCUUAUGCAGUCAACGCCCCUUGGUUUGACAGCACCAUCUACAACUGUAGUGAGCUCCUGUGCUCAUGUCAUUUCCCUUCCAGGAAGAUAUGAUGCCAUCGACUUUUUAUCCUGACACUGUCCUUACUUCUUCCAGUAGUUGAUGAGGAUUUGUUCUGGUUACCCUAAUGGUUUGUCUAACUAAAUAUAGGACACCUGGCCACCCCCACUUCUUUGUACUUCUUUGUAGUCUUAAUUACUUUGGCAACUAGACUUUAAAAAAAAACAAACUUCCAAUCUG